UACGUAGGGUGCGAGCGUUGUCCGGAAUUAUUGGGCGUAAAGCGCGCGUAGGCGGCUUUGCAAGUCGGGUGUGAAAUCCCCAGGCUUAACCUGGGAACUGCAUUCGAGACUGCAUUGCUAGAGUAUGGGAGAGGGAAGUGGAAUUUCCGGUGUAGCGGUGAAAUGCGUAGAUAUCGGAAGGAACAUCAGUGGCGAAAGCGACUUCCUGGACCAAUACUGACGCUCAUGUGCGAAAGCGUGGGGAGCAAACAGG
rnacentral:rRNA from 1 species